rnacentral:rRNA from 1 species
UCGGUAAUUCCAGCUCCAAUAGUGUAUAUUAAUGUUCCUGCAGUUAUUCGAUGCUCGUAGUUGGAUUUCUGGAGGCUGCGAGGGGCCGGAGACUAUGGUUUCCGCCGUUCGCUUCCUUCAUCCACCUGUUAAGGUUGUCCGGUAUUCGUUUAUCGGCUUCUGGCUCAGGUACUUUACCCUUUCUACAUAUAUUCAUUUAUUUAUCUACUUUUUGAGCAAAUUAUAGUGUUUCAGGCAGGCGUGCGCCGGAAUACUUUAGCAUGGAAUAAUCGAACAGGACCGUGUAUCCAUCUGGAUUUCUCCUUAUUUGUUGGUUUCGAAGGACACGGAAAUGGUUAAUAGGGAUAGUAAUUUUUAAGGGGAGGCAUUAGUAUUUAAUUUCCAGAGGUGAAAUUCUUUGAAAUAUUAAAGACUAACUUAUGCGAAAGCAUUUAUUUUGCCAAUAAUGUUUUCAUUAAUCAUUGAACGAAAGUUAGGGGAUCAAAGACGAUCAGAUACCGUCCUAGUCUUAACCAUAAACGUUGCCGACUAGGGAUCGGAGGGCGUGCACAUUCCGCCUUCGGCACCUUACGAGAAAUCAAAGUCUUAUGGGUUCUGGGGGUAGUAUGGUCGCAAGGCUGAAACUUAAAGGAAUUGACGGAAGGGCACCACCAGGAGUGGAGCUUGCGGCUCAAUUUGACUCAACACGGGAGAUCUUACCAGGUCCAGACAUAGCGAGGAUUGACAGAUUGAUAGCUCUUUCUUGAUUCUAUGGGUAUUUUUGGUGGUGCAUGGCCGUUCUUAGUUGGUGGAGUGAUUUGUCUGGUUAAUUCCGUUAAACGAACGAGACCUCAGCCUGCUAAAUAGUUACCUGUCUUUCAUUUACCGAGACUUGCUAACUUCUUAGAGGGACGUUGUGUGCAACCACAAGGAAGUUGAGGCAAUAACAGGUCUGUGAUGCCCUUAGAUGUCCUGGGCCGCACGCGUGCUACACUGAUACGUACAACGAGGUAUGUGCAUUUAUGCAUCUAGGCUGCUCCGAAAUAGACAAAGCUAAAUCUUCGAAAAAUACGUAUCGUGCUGCGGAUAGAUCGUUGAAAUUAUGAAUCUUGAAGGUGGAAUUCCUAGUAAGCGCGGGUCAUCAACCCGCGUUGAUUACGUCCCUGCCCUUUGUACACACCGCCCGUCGCUCCUACCAAUUUCGAGUGGCUCGGUGAACCUCUUUGGACUGUCGAGCAAUCGCGAAAUUAGAGUGAACCUGGUCACUUAGAGGAAGGAAAAGUCGUAACAAGGUAGCCGUA